GCAAUCAAUUCCCACCGUGUUCCCAAAAGCUACAAAUAUCAGCUUUGGUUGGAAUUGCUUUUACAUGCCGGACUCAAUUUUAAAAAUAGUUACCCAAACACCAAUUUUUUUAACAAACUCACUUCUAAGAUUUCUAAACUCACGUUUACGGCUCCCCACCACGUAACCAAACGAGUGCUUAGCUUUUUCAAAUCGAUUCUCUACUGUGGAAAUACACUAGCAUCUAUUUGUCUCUUUUGCCCUUGAAUCUCAACACUUCCUUUCACAUACCUUUUCAAAUCUGACAAAGCCCUUCACGGUGUCUGCAUGCUUUGUCAUGUUGUUGUAAAAAAAUAUGUUUGUACUGUUGCUGUGGUUUUUUCUUCUUCUGUGUGUUGCAAAUAAAUCUCAAGGUUGAAGAUGACACGUUUUUUGAGAAGAAAUGGUCUUUUGUCUUCUUGCUCUUUAAAAGCCCAUCAGUAUCAGGUAUCCAUUUAUUUUAUAGAAAAAAAAAUUCAUAUAUAACUACGAAUUUUACUAGUUACCAAUUACAUUUUUAAUUCCCUAAAAAAAAUACAUUUUUAAUAAUUUUAUAAAAUGCAACAUAAAAAUAACUAAAAAUGGAAAUGAAAGUUGUAGACAAAAAUAAACGAAAUAUAGUGUUGAAUGCACACAUAUAUGAAAAUCCAUUUUGGUCAUUUACACACCCAAAAGUAAUUUUGACACCAAAUAUCCAAACAAAAUCUUUCAUACAAAUAACUUCAAUUGUGAAGGUAACCAAACAUAAACCACUUUACAUUAAACUCACUUUUAACUAUAAUCAAUUUUGUAAAAUCAGUUCAAACAAAAUCAAUUUUCUCCACAGCAAAAUCAAACACACACUAUAUGAAUUAAUAGCAAGGUAAUAAGAAAAGGAAUAAACAAAAUAUAAAAAAAAACUACAACAUGAGAAAUGGUACUCCGUGUGUACUGACGUGAGUGGUUUAUGGUUAUAUUUCUUUUACUAGAAGUGGGUAGUUACGUUUUUUUUAAAGAAAAUGUGGGUAGUUACAUAUAAACGUGGGUAAUUUUUUCUAUUAAAAAUUAAAUAAAAUAAAAUUAAUAAGGGUAAAAUUGAAAUAAAAUAUAAAAAGCUAUAAUCUUUAAGCUCAAAAGCUACUUGAAUUAACUUCUCAUAAAAAGCUAUAAGCUGGUGAGAAAAACUUAUUAUCAAACACGUCAUAUUUUGAUCCAACAAACUUAUAAACUAAUUCAACAAAUUAUAAACUAGCUUCUCGAGGUUACCAAACAUAACCUAACUGUGUCAAUAUUAAUAAGUUAUUUUCAAACACACUCUAAUGAUGUAGAUAAGAGUUGUUGCAUUAAAGUAGCUAAAUAUUUGACAAAAGUGCAUUCAUUUUAAGGAUCGUUGUUACUUGGUGGAUAAAGCAAAAAAUAUGACAAUUCAUUCAACAAUUUAAAAUAUUUGGACUACUUAGCAUCAUAUUAAUAACGAUGUGUCCUAAUCCAAUUAUCAUGGGUCCUAACCCUAUUAUCAUAGAUUAUAAAAAGCAUUAGUAACGACGAAUAUUUUGAUGAAGUAAGAUACAAAACCAAAAGGCAAGAAAAAAAUAAAUUAAAGAAGAACGUGGCGAAAGAAGUCAACAUCAAUGUUGACUUCAAACUAGGAGUAAUUGCCUGUUUGACAUCUUUAUUUUUGAAUAACGUUUCCAGCUAGACAAAUAAUCGAGUUUUCAUUUUUUUAAAAUUUUUCAAAAUUAAUAAUUCAACAAAUUAUUGAAAGAAACUUUAAAUAAACGACAAUAAGUUUACAUCAAAUAUUUAUGACGACCAUCUCUCAACUUUGAGAUUUUCUUUUAUCAUGAUUCAUGAUGAGUAUCUAAAACUCAACUAUAAGAGUUUUUGCAGGAGCUCUAAUUAUAUAUUUUGUUAACAUACAUAAAUUUCUUUAUAAAUAUUUAGGUAAUAUGUCUGUAUAAAUUAUUUUAUAUAUUAUAUAUUUUUUAAUUGCUUAACUAUGUGAACGUAUUAGUAUUCACUAACUAGUCAAAAAAUGUAUCUUCACAUCUUAUCAAUCACAACAUAUGAAGUCAAUGGACCAGUCAAAAUCUCUUAUGUCGACUACUUAUAAUUUGGACAAGCUAACAUAACAAACAAAAAAGCAAAAUGCGAGUUUUGUUUUUCAAUUAUAUUGGAUGGAUAACUGCAAAUUUAAUGGGAAGGUUCAUAUUUUGGUUUGAUGCACACAAUCUCUUGGAUUUGAAUUGACAUAUUUAAGUUAAUCACACUUGCAAGGAGAACAACUAUAGUGCAGAUUGACUUAUCAAUUUUAAUUUUACUUUUGAUUCUUUAAAUUGUACUAUUGUGGAGACUCGUGCAAGUGUGUUUCAUAAGCAUUUGCCUCAAUAAAUUACUUGUAAUACUUAUGAUAUCUAUAAAUAUAGUUGGUUUUUAUUUUCAUUUUAGAAUAAUUUUUUUAAGGGUCUUGCUAGAGUAAAAUGACUGGUGAUGAAUUUGUUUGUACACCUUAAAUUUUUUCUAC
rnacentral:lncRNA from 1 species